AUGGCACCGUAACUUCGGGAGAAGGUGCGCCGGCUAGGGUGAAGGAUUUACUCCGUAAGCUCUGGCUGGUCGAAGAUACCAGGCCGCUGCGACUGUUUAUUAAAAACACAGCACUCUGCAAACACGAAAGUGGACGUAUAGGGUGUGACGCCUGCCCGGUGCCGGAAGGUUAAUUGAUGGGGUUAGCGCAAGCGAAGCUCUUGAUCGAAGCCCCGGUAAACGGCGGCCGUAACUAUAACGGUCCUAAGGUAGCGAAAUUCCUUGUCGGGUAAGUUCCGACCUGCACGAAUGGCGUAACGAUGGCGGCGCUGUCUCCACCCGAGACUCAGUGAAAUUGAAAUCGCUGUGAAGAUGCAGUGUAUCCGCGGCUAGACGGAAAGACCCCGUGAACCUUUACUGUAGCUUUGCACUGGACUUUGAGCCUGCUUGUGUAGGAUAGGUGGGAGGCUUUGAAGCGUGGACGCCAGUUCGCGUGGAGCCAUCCUUGAAAUACCACCCUGGCAUGCUUGAGGUUCUAACUCUGGUCCGUGAUCCGGAUCGAGGACAGUGUAUGGUGGGCAGUUUGACUGGGGCGGUCUCCUCCUAAAGAGUAACGGAGGAGUACGAAGGUGCGCUCAGACCGGUCGGAAAUCGGUCGCAGAGUAUAAAGGCAAAAGCGCGCUUGACUGCGAGACAGACACGUCGAGCAGGUACGAAAGUAGGUCUUAGUGAUCCGGUGGUUCUGUAUGGAAGGGCCAUCGCUCAACGGAUAAAAGGUACUCCGGGGAUAACAGGCUGAUACCGCCCAAGAGUUCAUAUCGACGGCGGUGUUUGGCACCUCGAUGUCGGCUCAUCACAUCCUGGGGCUGAAGCCGGUCCCAAGGGUAUGGCUGUUCGCCAUUUAAAGUGGUACGCGAGCUGGGUUUAGAACGUCGUGAGACAGUUCGGUCCCUAUCUGCCGUGGACGUUUGAGAUUUGAGAGGGGCUGCUCCUAGUACGAGAGGACCGGAGUGGACGAACCUCUGGUGUUCCGGUUGUCACGCCAGUGGCAUUGCCGGGUAGCUAUGUUCGGAAAAGAUAACCGCUGAAAGCAUCUAAGCGGGAAACUUGCCUCAAGAUGAGAUCUCACUGGGAACUUGAUUCCCCUGAAGGGCCGUCGAAGACUACGACGUUGAUAGGCUGGGUGUGUAAGCGUUGUGAGGCGUUGAGCUAACCAGUACUAAUUGCCCGUGAGGCUUGACCAU
rnacentral:rRNA from 1 species